rnacentral:misc_RNA from 1 species
CUAAAAACAAUCGACAUAGUUGCUGUUUCGCAGUGACAUUCGUCGGAAAUUGGGUCAUCUUUAAACCUUUUGGUUUUUAAGCGGCUUAAAAUUUUCUUUACGAUUCCACGAUGUUUCUAAGAUUUAUUUUCUUACACGUUUAAGGUAAUCGAUCAUUAUUAGACGUGACCCUCACAUCGGAUCGCGUCCAUAAAUAUUUCGUU